UACGUAGGGGGCAAGCGUUGUCCGGAUUUACUGGGCGUAAAGGGCGCGUAGGCGGCGUGUUAAGUCACUUGUGAAAUCUCUAAGCUUAACUUAGAACGGUCAAGUGAUACUGAUGUGCUAGAGUGCAGAAGGGGCAACCGGAAUUCUUGGUGUAGCGGUGAAAUGCGCAGAUAUCGGGAGGAACACCAAUGGCGAAGGCAGCUUGCUGGGACGGUACUGACGCUGAGACGCGAAAGCGUGGGGAGCAAACAGG
rnacentral:rRNA from 1 species